GUUAGAGUGGAGUAGUAGUUUAACUCGUCGCCCUCCCAAACUGAUCCCCAAAAAAAAGGGUGAGGCAAGGAGAUUCAGGCGGAGACCCGGGUGCGAAUCCCGGCUCUAGCA